AUAUCAAUAAGCGGAGGAAAAGAAACUAACAAGGAUUCCCCUAGUAACUGCGAGUGAAGCGGGAAAAGCUCAAAUUUGAAAUCUGACGGUUACGCCGUCCGAGUUGUAAUCUGGAGAAGCGUUUUCCGCGUCGGACCGUGUACAAGUGCCUUGGAACAGGACGUCAUAGAGGGUGAGAAUCCCGUCUUUGACACGGACCCCCGAUGCUAUGUGAUGCGCUCUCGAAGAGUCGAGUUGUUUGGGAAUGCAGCUCAAAAUGGGUGGUAAAUUCCAUCUAAAGCUAAAUAUUGGCGAGAGACCGAUAGCGAACAAGUACCGUGAGGGAAAGAUGAAAAGCACUUUGGAAAGAGAGUAAAACAGUACGUGAAAYUGUUGAAAGGGAAACGCUUGAAGUCAGUCGCGUCUGCCGGAACUCAGCCUUGCUUCUGCUUGGUGCACUUUCCGGUCUGACGGGCCAGCAUCGGUUUCGAGCGGCGGACACUGGCGUUGGGAAGGUGGCAGCUCCGGCUGUGUUAUAGCCCUCCGUCGCAAACGCCGCCCGGGACCGAGGAAUCCGGCGCAAGCCUGGGAUGCUGGCGUAAUGGCUUUAAACGACCCGUCUUGAAACACGGACCAAGGAGUGCUACGUGCUCGCGAGUGUUUGGGUGGAAAACCCGGACGCGCAAUGAAAGUGAAAGUCGAUACCCUUUACUGGGGCACCGACGCCCGAGCCUGAUGUUUUCGGAAGGCCUUGCGGUAGAGCGAGUGCGUUGCGACCCGAAAGAUGGUGAACUAUUCCUGAGGAGGGCGAAGCCAGAGGAAACUCUGGUGGAGGCUCGUAGCGGUUCUGACGUGCAAAUCGAUCGCAGGACUUGGGUAUAGGGGCGAAAGACUAAUCGAACCAUCUAGUAGCUGGUUCCUGCCGAAGUUUCCCUCAGGAUAGCAGAAGCUCAUAUCAGAUUUAUGUGGUAAAGCGAA
rnacentral:rRNA from 1 species